GGAUACAGAUCUUUUAAGUAAUGGAGAGUGGAUUAAUGCAGGAACUCCAGAUGUUUACUUCAGAGUGUGACCAGGACCAUCAGAGCAAUGUGACAACAAUCAGAACCAAUGUCUCCAAAUAAGUAUCCUUUUAUAAAAAUCUGUAUCCGUAUAUUGCAUUUGGAUUCACAAAUGAAGCAAAUUAAUGUCCCACAAUUGUUUCCUUUGUGUAUCAUUAUAAUUAAGGAACUCCAACAAUAUUGUGCAAAUUAUUCAGCAUCCUCUAUAAGAAAGUUACCAACUAAAAGUUUUGUGGUUGGGUAAUAAAAUAGACAGACAGGAUUAGUAUCCAUUUGUUUUUCCUGGAUGUGUAGCUUUCCUUGAAAAGGCUGAACGUGUUGGGCUGCCUUCAUACUCUUGAGACACUUCCUUCGUGGUAUUUCGUUAGUGUUUAUUAUAUAUUUUUAAAUAGGACAUGGAUAUCUUAUGCAGAUCAAUUGAAUUCAGCAUUUUGAGUGAGGAAGAAUGAGCACUACUGUCCUUGAUGUCAUGAACUUUAAACCAGUUAGCUGUACUGUAUAUACAUUUUACAUACUUGCAAGCAUUAUAUGUCACUUUUUUUUUGUGAGCAUUAUUUUUUAGGGAGGAUUUUUUAAUUAAUUGUUCCGAAAGUGACGAUGAUGACGAAAACCAAAAUGUAUGUGCCAGUAGUUGUUCUGAAACAAAUGAAGCAGAUCUACCUUCUUUGUUGAAGGUUUUUCAAAUGACGCACACAAACCCUGACGUUGUAACAUUUGUGGUUGUAAGAAGGUGGAAACUGCUCCAGAGUGCCCUAAAGGCUAUGAACAAACCUGGGUUCUCUUGGCAAAACACACCUCACAUUGAAUUUGUUGGGGAGGAUGCAGACGAUUAUGGUGGGCCACAACGGGAAGUUUUCAGGUUUGUUAAAAUCCAAAUGGUCUUUUAACAGAACAUGAAUACUGUGUAACACAGUACAAUGGCAAUUAAAUCAAGCUACUAACUAGAAAGGGGAG